GUGUCAGCCGCCGCGGUAAUACGUAGGGAGCGAGCGUUGUCCGGAUUUAUUGGGCGUAAAGGGCUUGUAGGUGGCUUGUCGCGUCUGCCGUGAAAUUCCGCAGCUUAACUGUGGUAGUGCGGUGGGUACGGGCAGGCUUGAGUGUGGUAGGGGAGACUGGAAUUCCUGGUGUAGCGGUGGAAUGCGCAGAUAUCAGGAGGAACACCGGUGGCGAAGGCGGGUCUCUGGGCCAUUACUGACGCUGAGGAGCGAAAGCGUGGGGAGCGAACAGGAUUAGAUACCCUGGUAGUCCACGCUGUAAACGUUGGGAACUAGGUGUGGGGCCUGUCAUGGGUUCUGCGCCGGCGCUAACGCAUUAAGUUCCCCGCCUGGGGAGUACGGCCGCAAGGCUAAAACUCAAAGAAAUUGACGG
rnacentral:rRNA from 1 species